CAGAGUUGCAAAACUCCUAAACCAUUGUGAACCUACCCAAAACCGUUGCUUCGGCGGGUGGCUCCCGGGUCUCCCGGGUUGCCCCUCGGCCCCCCACGGGGCGCCCGCCGGAGGUACAUAAACCCUGUACUUUGUAUGGCCUCUCUGAGUCUCUGUACUGAAUAAGUCA
rnacentral:misc_RNA from 1 species